GGCGAACGCUGGCGGCGUGCUUAACACAUGCAAGUCGAACGGAAAGGCCCUGCUUUUGUGGGGUGCUCGAGUGGCGAACGGGUGAGUAACACGUGAGUAACCUGCCCUUGACUUUGGGAUAACUUCAGGAAACUGGGGCUAAUACCGGAUAGGAGCUCCUGCUGCAUGGUGGGGGUUGGAAAGUUUCGGCGGUUGGGGAUGGACUCGCGGCUUAUCAGCUUGUUGGUGGGGUAGUGGCUUACCAAGGCUUUGACGGGUAGCCGGCCUGAGAGGGUGACCGGCCACAUUGGGACUGAGAUACGGCCCAGACUCCUACGGGAGGCAGCAGUGGGGAAUAUUGCACAAUGGGCGGAAGCCUGAUGCAGCAACGCCGCGUGCGGGAUGACGGCCUUCGGGUUGUAAACCGCUUUCGCCUGUGACGAAGCGUGAGUGACGGUAAUGGGUAAAGAAGCACCGGCUAACUACGUGCCAGCAGCCGCGGUGAUACGUAGGGUGCGAGCGUUGUCCGGAUUUAUUGGGCGUAAAGGGCUCGUAGGUGGUUGAUCGCGUCGGAAGUGUAAUCUUGGGGCUUAACCCUGAGCGUGCUUUCGAUACGGGUUGACUUGAGGAAGGUAGGGGAGAAUGGAAUUCCUGGUGGAGCGGUGGAAUGCGCAGAUAUCAGGAGGAACACCAGUGGCGAAGGCGGUUCUCUGGGCCUUUCCUGACGCUGAGGAGCGAAAGCGUGGGGAGCGAACAGGCUUAGAUACCCUGGUAGUCCACGCUGUAAACGGUGGGUACUAGGUGUGGGGUCCAUUCCACGGGUUCCGUGCCGUAGCUAACGCUUUAAGUACCCCGCCUGGGGAGUACGGCCGCAAGGCUAAAACUCAAAGGAAUUGACGGGGCCCCGCACAAGCGGCGGAGCAUGCGGAUUAAUUCGAUGCAACGCGUAGAACCUUACCUGGGUUUGACAUGGAUCGGGAGUGCUCAGAGAUGGGUGUGCCUCUUUUGGGGUCGGUUCACAGGUGGUGCAUGGCUGUCGUCAGCUCGUGUCGUGAGAUGUUGGGUUAAGUCCCCGCAACGAGCGCAACCCUUGUUCACUGUUGCCAGCACGUUAUGGUGGGGACUCAGUGGAGACCGCCGGGGUCAACUCGGAGGAAGGUGGGGAUGACGCCAAGUCAUCAUGCCCCUUAUGUCCAGGGCUUCACGCAUGCUACAAUGGCUGGUACAGAGAGUGGCGAGCCUGUGAGGGUGAGCGAAUCUUGGAAAGCCGGUCUCAGUUCGGAUUGGGGUCUGCAACUCGACCUCAUGAAGUCGGAGUCGCUAGUAAUCGCAGAUCAGCAACGCUGCGGUGAAUACGUUCCCGGGGCU
rnacentral:rRNA from 1 species